AGAGUUUGAUCCUGGCUCAGGAUGAACGCUGGCGGCGUGCUUAACACAUGCAAGUCGAACGAUGAUCCCAGCUUGCUGGGGGAUUAGUGGCGAACGGGUGAGUAACACGUGAGUAACCUGCCCUUGACUCUGGGAUAAGCCUGGGAAACUGGGUCUAAUACCGGAUACGACCAUCUGGCGCAUGUCAUGGUGGUGGAAAGCUUUUGUGGUUUUGGAUGGACUCGCGGCCUAUCAGCUUGUUGGUGGGGUAAUGGCCUACCAAGGCGACGACGGGUAGCCGGCCUGAGAGGGUGACCGGCCACACUGGGACUGAGACACGGCCCAGACUCCUACGGGAGGCAGCAGUGGGGAAUAUUGCACAAUGGGCGCAAGCCUGAUGCAGCGACGCCGCGUGAGGGAUGACGGCCUUCGGGUUGUAAACCUCUUUCAGUAGGGAAGAAGCGUAAGUGACGGUACCUGCAGAAGCGGCCCCGCUUCCCCU
rnacentral:rRNA from 1 species